CGGGGCGUAGCUCAGCCGGGUAGAGCGCACGGUUCGGGACCGUGAGGCCGGAGGUUCAAAUCCUCUCGCCCCGACCA
rnacentral:tRNA from 1 species